ensembl:lincRNA
UGGGAACAGGGACCUGCUCAGAGUGGCUUGGGCAUACUUCCUUACUCUCCUGCCUACAAGGAGCCUGCAGAAUCCUUUCCUCUUCCUUGGGGACAAAGUCUGCCACUGCACAAGAAACACCUGCAGUUCUAAGUGCUGGAAGCCCAGCGAUGGCUCUAGAUUCUCGCUAUGCCUGCCAACCCAGCCUUCUCAGCAACGUGGCCACCUGCACUGUCUGCUCCCAUAGCAAGAGCUGCUGUGUGACUCGGGGAGCACAGAGUGGCCCAGCUGCGCUGGGGCGUGAGAGUGCUGCAGGACAAGGAGGUGGCAUUAGGGAAGUGCUGGAGGCACCCAGAAAACAGAAGUUAGCAGGGCGUGGGCUGCAGGCUAAGGUCGGCAGUGGUGGAGACAGCAGCUACCUGAGUAAGUUGGUCUGCCUUCAAGCCUGCUUUGCCAUCAAUUUCCUUCUUGUUCAACAACUCUCAGGUGCUUUAAAAGCCUUCUGUCUCUGCUCCCUUGUUAUGGUUGGUGGGAGGUAGAGAAAACCCAGGCUUCAGGGACUUGCUUCAUUCGUAUACAGAAGAUUGGCCUCAGAGCCCAGGGCCACAGAUCAGAAGUCCUGGCUGUCAGACACCUACCCUAUGGAGGAAUUGAGCUGAGGUUGUAGAGAUGAAUGACACACAGUUCCUGCUUCACAGACCCUAUUUUCCAGUAGGGCAGACAAAGGAGGAAGCAGAGGACCUGUAUGAGUGAUGGCGAACCUUUUAGAGCUUUUGAGGAUAACAGACAACGUGCUGCAGCAUGUGUGCCAUAGGUUUGCCACCACUAGGCUCUGUGUCAUUGGCAUGAGCCACUUCAGACUUUGGGCACCAGUGCACCCAUACUUUAAAAUCUAGUUGCCCAAGAUCUCCCAUUUGAGUGCUCACUGAUGCUGGUGGCACACUUGCUGCAGAUGUGGUUGGCAUCUCCCACAUGCCAAAUGUAGAGAAAGCUGCGUCCUGGUGGCCUAGCAUUGCUAGGACUUGCUGUGUCUUCUUGCAGUCCGGUGCCCUGCCUACACGUUCUCCCCCUCUGACGCUAAGGCCCCUGCCAGACCACAGUGGGUCUCUGAGGCCCUCAAGCCUUCAGUACUCGAGGGUCUAACUCACAGGCCGAGCCAUUAUUAUUGAAAGUACCCAUACUGUCCAAGGGUCUCUGAACCCGGAGGAACUUGUGCAUCGUGCAUAUGGUUUGCCAUUUGCCUCAACCAUCAUUUCCCAGAAAGCCAGCCCUUUUCUCAGUGACCUGGUGGGGCUGGGUUACUCAUCCGGACACCCUCUUUCCUCUUCUAUUAUUUUAUGGGCCUGGGCUUUACACAAGGUAAGUCUAGCAACAGAUUCCCUGACUUUGGGUCCUGGGAAGCGGAGGUUAGGUCAUGCAUCUCUUCCCUCCCCAAAGGCUCUGGGCUUGUCAUAUAAGUGGGCCUUAAGCCCUAACAACCAAAAGGUAAGGCAGAUUUUCCUAAACCUCUUAAACGUACAAUAUACAAAAAACCAAAGAAAACUCAAAGUGCAGGUUUUGUUACAUCUUGAUCCCCUCAACCAUGCGCUCCUAGCAGCAUCUUUGCC